AACGUAGGAGGCGAGCGUUAUCCGGAGUUACUGGGCGUAAAGAGCGUGUAGGCGGGUAUGCAAGUUUGGCGUGAAAGCUCCCGGCUAAACUGGGAGAGUGCGCUGAAGACUGCGUAGCUAGAGGCGAGUAGAGGGACGUGGAAUUCCGGGUGUAGUGGUGAAAUGCGUAGAGAUCCGGAGGAACACCAGUGGCGAAGGCGACGUCCUGGGCUUGACCUGACGCUGAGACGCGACAGCACGGGGAGCGAACGGG
rnacentral:rRNA from 1 species